UACGUAGGGUGCAAGCGUUAAUCGGAAUUACUGGGCGUAAAGCGUGCGCGGGCGGUUUUGUAAGUCUGAUGAGAAAUCCCCGGGCUCAACCUGGGAAUUGCAUUGGAGACUGCAAGGCUAGAAUCUGGCAGAGGGGGGUAGAAUUCCACGUGUAGCAGUGAAAUGCGUAGAGAUGUGGAGGAACACCGAUGGCGAAGGCAGCCCCCUGGGUCAAGAUUGACGCUCAUGCACGAAAGCGUGGGGAGCAAACAGG
rnacentral:rRNA from 1 species